CAAGUCAGAGGUGACACUACACAGUGUGGAGUUUCCUCAGGAAAUUUUCGUCAUUUCCGUUUGCCAUUUUUACUUUCCUUUCCCUAACAAGGAACAAAGCAACGACAAUGGGAACUGCGGAAGCGCGUCGGCUUGAACAAAUGGACCCAAACGACCAGAUGAUACCUGCAACUGUGCUGCGAAAUCGAUCGAUGGUGGGAUGUGAAGUCGGAGGAACGAGGCGGCACGGUGAAUCAACUUGUAAAGUGUUGGCCUCACAGUUCUGAGGUCCCGGGUUCAAUCCCGGCCCCGCCUGUGUGGAGUUUGCAUGUUCUCCCCGUGCCCGCGUGAGUUUUCUCCGGGCACUCCGGUUUCCUCCCACAUCCCAAAACACAUGCAACAUUAAUUGGACACUCUAAAAUUGCCCGUAGGUGUGAUUGUGAGUGCGACUGUUUGUCUCUAUAGUGCCCUGCGAAUGGCUGGCGACCAGAUCAGGGUGUACCCCAUCUCCUGCCCGUUGACAGUUGGGAUAGGCUCCAGCACUCCCCGCCACCCUCGUGAGGAUAAGCGGGCACCAGUACAAAGCAGGUUUCCAGAGCAAAUGACUCUUCGCGUUUCUUUUCAUCAUUUUAGCAGAUUGUUAUUUUUGCAACUUAUCAAUUAACAAGUCUCCGCAAGAAGCCAACUGCAGAGUGCUAAUAUGCGCUAAUCCUCAGCAGAAGAUUACACUUUUCUAUAUGAGCACUGUAUGGUCACAGCAAACUCAACUCACUUCAAAACAAGCUGCAAUUUCGAAGAUAGUGAAAAAAAGAUGUAAAUAGCGUCAAAACGUCACCGUGCGGAUGGCAAUGGGAAUGCCCGACUCAUCCACUGGUCCGAUCCCUUCGUAAUGGGGGGCUUUGAUGAUGGACACUUUAGUUUCCUCCUCGGAGAAGCGGGCGAUGGGCAGGGUGGCAUUGCCCGACGCCACAGACUCUCUGGUGAAUCCCUCGCUGACUUCUAAAACGGAAAAUACAUUCGCACGAGAGCGGCUCCAACUACCUUCGACAAAUUUCUCGUGAGUCCGCUGCGAAGCGAGGCGGGAGGAGGCGGGUAAGAUGGCGGCGAAAGCGGUCUCUGUGCAUGCACCGUUCCCCCGUUCACAGCGUGAGACAGCACCUGACCCUGUGAGGGGUGCCACAAAGAAGAUAAAUCAACGAAAAUGCUCAGCAGCAGAAAGUCCUGGCGGGACUGCCACAGGAGCCUUCAGGUCUUGAGCUGGAUCCGACCCUGGUGGUUGUUGAAUUGGGAUCACCGUGGACUUGUUUGAAGGCUCUGGAUGUUUCAGGCUUUCCGGGAACAAUUUGACAGACAACGAGGACGUCCUUGUGGAGAGCUGAGGAGGGGUGGUCAGGUUGGGCCUGACGCUGCGGAAACCUUUGGCGGCCAGAGACGAGCUGAUUGUGUCACUGUUCUUAAGGUCAUUGGUUUCACUGCCAGACCGCCAAGAAUCUGCAUUGGGUUGGUUUCAUUAGCGUCAAUAGAUGA